GUCCUUACCGGAAGUGCCUGGGCAGACACUUUUCAUAGCUCCCAGAUCCUGAAGCCCCCUGGUCCGACGGACUUGAGCAACCAGUAACAGGACCUCAGGGAGGAGAGGAAUCUCCAGAAUCUCCAGAGCCCCACCCAGCAACUGUGGACACAGGCUGUCUCUCAGGCCAGAUAUGAACAUAUUUGGUAGCUCAGAUCUAGUUGAACGUGAUGACAUCUUCUCCUUGGGAGCUGUGAGAAAACAGAACUCACUUGUAAGGCAGUUUUAAGAACAUCCUCAAAUUUGCAUAGACUAAUCAUACUCUCCCCUUUAUUGCCUUCCAUUACUUGGACUUUUCUUAAGUGCUGGGGAUGAACCCCAGGGCCUCCUACAUUACUUUUCAUAGAUUUAAUUUUCCUCUUGCAUUUAAAGCUAAUUUGAAGAGUAAAACGUGUUUUAUUUUUAAUAUCUGACAUUGGAUUUCCAACUCUAGCAUGCUAUUUUAUUUGGUUGGUUUUUGUUUGUUUGUUUGUUUGGGUUUUUUUGUUUGUUUUUGGAGACAGGGUUUCUCU